rnacentral:lncRNA from 1 species
AAAGUCGUAGAUACACUUCAGAGAUGUCUGCGGUGGUUUGAAGGGGAAAUGCCUCUUGUAGGCUCAUGUGUUUGAAUACUUGGGCCCACUUGAUGAUGUGCUGGGGGACAGGAAGCUAUGGAACCUUAAGGAGGCAGAGCCUUGCUGGAGGAAGAAUAUGGGCUUUGAGGGUUAAUAGCCUGGUCCCAAUUCCUGUUUGCACUCUCUGCUUCCUGUGCAUGGAUACAACAUGAUUAGCCAGCUUACUGAUUCUGCCACUAUGCCAUGCCAUGCUUGCUACCUGGAACCAUAAGCCAAAAUAAACUUCUUCCCCUCCCUAGAGACAGGAUUUCUCUAAUUGUGCCAGCUAGCCUGGAGAGGCUCUAAGACAGAGAGCCAUCCGUCUCUGCCUCCUGAGAGCCAGGAUUAAAGGCAUGGGCCACCACCACCACCUGGCCAAACCCCUUCAUCUUAAGUUGUCUUUGGUGUGAGUGAGCAAGAGAAAAGUAAUGAAUCCAAUGCCAUCCUGCCCAGCUUUCAUGAGUUGAUUCUUGGCUUCCACCAUCAGGGUCACAAGGGUUGAACUGAGGUCAUCGGGUUUAGCGGCGAGUACCUUUCCCAUGAGCCAUCUCACAGGGUAGGUUAAGACACUUCAUCAAGGUUUAUAGAGCACUUUAUAGAGCGCUGAAGGGAAAUAGGAAGGAAGCCACUGCAUUCUUUUUCUAGUUAAAUGUGCAGACUAGAGUCACUAACGGGAGUUUCUGCUUUUAACUCUUAACACUACUAUGUUUAGUGCCAGAGAAUUGAUGAACGUGAGUAUUCUAGCAGUAUAAAGAAGAAAACCAAAGAUCAACUGUUGAGCUUACUAAAGACUAUUGAUAAAGAUUCAAAACUCUGCCAAAGAGAAGAAGAAACUGCUAGGCCAAUUCCAUAAGCGUCAUUCGGACAUCUUCAUUGAGAAUUCUGGAGACUGAGUUUCUAAUGCCUAUGUGUAUGUGCACUUGUUUGUAAGGGCAAAUUAUGCAACCUAAAGAAAAUUUAAGCUUGGAUGCCUAAAUAUGAAGUUGUACUUAAUAAAAUUUUAUACCC